rnacentral:lncRNA from 1 species
AGAAAGAAAAAUUUCCUCAUUCUCUCUGAAUUCGGAAUAGGGUUAAUGCAAGCCCAUGGCAUUGAUUUUCUUCCAACCCUACGCGGCUUAAUUCGCGUAAUAAUAAUAGGUAAUGGAAUCUCAUAGCAAAAAUAGGUUUUUGUGCUAAUGACCAAACUACCCUUGUUCUGUCAUCACAAUUCACAGUUACCUAAUUAGUAGACAAAGGCAAUGAACUCAUUUGACUUAUUGUAAUCCUUUUUUCUAAGAGUUUGCUUAUCCGCUCACUAUUUUGCUGCUAUCUCACGAGGAAAUGUUACUUCGUUUCAUUUCAAUUACUAUAUUAUAUCGAUGAAAAGCAAUUGCAUUACUUAGCAGUUAUGUUUUGAGUAAAGUAGUAUUUCCAUUAAAAGGGUAUUUCUUGGGGGGAAAAA